rnacentral:lncRNA from 10 species
GUGCCCCCUGAACCUUGAAACUAAAGCCUCAGCUGAGGUUAUUAGAAGAUUUCAGAUGUACAAGCACAGACCCAGGGAGGACAGCUGGAACACCUCACUGGGGUCCUGUUGAGGAGAACUGAGAUUGCAGAAUGGGCACCCUAAGUCACACAAGAGCAUUCAUCUCAAGAAAAGGGGGAGUCAAGACUGGUAACCCUGGCACCAUAACAUGGUCUGGAGGUUGGGCCAGGUAGCAGUGGGUGCUGGCAUUAGCACAGCAUGUGGCCUAGACUGAAAACCCAUCAUACCCAAUUGCCCUGUACAGUGGCACAUUUUAGGGAAAUAACAGCGUAUGUGUGUGAGCUGAAAGAGCCGCAAUCUUGGAUCCUAAGUUUGGGGCACCACUGUGGCCUGUAACGAAACUUGGUCUAGCAAGAGCAUUGUACAGAUGAAAAAUUCCAUCCGAUGGUGUGAGCUGAGUUUCAAAUGGUGACAUUGUGUGGUGGAGCAGAAAUAAAGGUCAGUGGGCUGAUUAGACUCUGAGGUUCUCUCUUCUAGAGUUGGAAGGUGGACUGUUCUUCAAACUGAGUAAACUCCUGAGAUAU